rnacentral:rRNA from 1 species
CAUACGCGUUCAGAGUUUGAUCCUGGCUCAGGAUGAACGCUGGCGGCGUGCUUAACACAUGCAAGUCGAACGGAGUUCUGAUGUGUGAAGCGAAGUAGCUUGCUACGGAGUGGAACUUUUCAGAACUUAGUGGCGGACGGGUGAGUAACGCGUGGGUAACCUGCCUCAUACAGGGGGAUAACAGUUAGAAAUGACUGCUAACACCGCAUAACAUGGCGAGACCGCAUGACCUUGCCAUCAAAAAUUUAUUGGUAUGAGAUGGGCCCGCGUCUGAUUAGCUAGUUGGUGGGGUAAUGGCCUACCAAGGCGACGAUCAGUAGCCGGCUUGAGAGAGUGACCGGCCACAUUGGGACUGAGACACGGCCCAA